UCCACUGAAAUCAAAGACAAAAUAUCUACUCCAAAGGCACGUGAGGAGAAUAAAAACUUCCUUUCCCCCUGUAGUUACUGGAAAACUUAGGGAAUCUUUUAAAACAACAACAACAACAACCCUGCAAAUGUUGAGGGCUCUCACUGAGAGAUGCGUCGCUUUCUUAUUAAUGGACUGAUCUUGCGAUGAAGUGAAAUACAGAAAUGGAACAAAUGAUCGGGCUGCGGCCAGUGGCAUGGGAAGGAUGUUAACCCCACAUGACUUUAGUAGGAACGUGUCUAACGUCCAGCAGAUACAUUUGAAACAGUCACUUACUUUCAUUCUCUUCCACAGGCUUGAGAGUGGCCAUCAUGGUUAUUCAGUGCUAUUUACAAACUCAGUGCCACGGUGGGAUCACCAUGCUGCUUGUGUGGACUUUAAUUUCUGUGGGUUUGUUUUCUUUUCACUCAUGGAAGGCGCAGACCCGCCUUGCUGGUGCACCCAAAACUCCCAUUAACUACAAUGGGAGACUUGGAUGCGAAAGGGAAAACAGUAUUGGCUCCAUAUAUAUUCUUAAUCCAGAGAGACAUCUGGCAUCCUGAGAGAUCCCAUUAAAGAAGAAACCUGACUGCUCUGUGUGUGUUUAGCCCUUUUGCAAGUCCUAACAGAAUCACAAGCAAACCCAGUCAGGAGAAAUCAAAGGUAAAUCUUUAUUCGACGAUUUACAAGUUGAGUUACAAAAGUAGACUUAUUUUGCAAUAACACAAAACGGUAUUGACCUUCUUAAGUGUUACGAUGAUGAGCAUCGUCCCAUCAUUUUAGCUUAAAUAAGAAAGCGCUUAAAAUUGCCUCCAGUAAUGAUCUGAACACAGAGAAACUAAACUAAAUAACGUUAUAACAAGACAUUUACAGGGGAAUGUCUUUUUAGUGUGUUAUAAUGCAAAGAGAGACAACGCAACUAUUUUUCUCCACCCCGAAUAUCAAAUCCAGGACCGCUACCCAAGUUAAAUGCUGGAUAAUAACAAAAAGAAAUCAAAUAAAUUAGAAUAUUGUUUGCAAACUGAAUUGCCAUUGAUAAGUAAUGACACCACUGCCGGCUACUGGCAUAAAAUGUACCAUCCAGGGGAAAUAAAGCGGAUUGAUCAGAUUCUAACGCCGAUGUAGCAGACUGCACACUGCGCACUGAAAUGAAAUAUGUCAUUUUCUCCCCGUUUUAAAAUUCGAACACCUACAAGGUUUGCCAAUCGGUUGCGCUUAAGGAACAUUCAAUACAUGUUAGUUCCAAGUGCAGGCGAUCCUGUGUUGAAUAUAAACAUAAAAUAGAGGAUUGUAACGUAUCGUAUCCAUUCUGCAUUGCAACGGAUAGAAGCAAGACACGGGUUAAUUUCAAGGACAGAUUUGCCCUCAGUGUAUUUUCUUUGUUGCGAUCAGUUAAACAGUGGGGAUGUUUUAAAUCUUAAAAUGUACAGUCAUUGGAAAAUACACAAUGACAAUCAA